rnacentral:rRNA from 1 species
UACGUAGGGUGCGAGCGUUAAUCGGAAUUACUGGGCGUAAAGCGUGCGCAGGCGGUUCGUUGUGUCGGCGGUGAAAGCCCCGGGCUUAACCUGGGAAUGGCCGUUGAAACUGGCGAACUGGAGUGUGGCAGAGGGGGUGGAAUUCCGCGUGUAGCAGUGAAAUGCGUAGAGAUGCGGAGGAACACCGAUGGCGAAGGCAGCCCCUGGGCUGACACUGACGCCUCAGGCACGAAAGCGUGGGGAGCAAACAGG